GGUACAGUCCAAUGUCCUUCGCUUAGAGAAGGAAGACCAGAAGGCUACUGUUUGGUGUUAGCAUAAGGAACCAUGGUCAAAUUCGCAUUACCAACCAGUGUGAAUUGGGCACACAUAUUGGUUCCCAUGGGCUUUGUGAUUGGAUGGUACCUUGACAAACAACAGGACCAGAAGCUGACAGCAUUCAGAAACAAGAGUGCACUGUACAAGAGAGAGUUGAAACCUGGCGAGGAGGUGACCUGGAAGUAGACGCUUCACUGCUUGUAAAGUUCCAUCGGUUUAAGUGUGAAUGAAUAAUGAUGAGUGGCCCUCAAGCUGUAGUGUUGAAGGAGACUGAUGUACACCUUAUUUUGAGUUGUAUCAACUAAAAUAAAUAAAAAUGUCUGUUCUCAAGAA